rnacentral:rRNA from 1 species
CAAUAGCGUAUAUUAAAGUUGUUGCAGUUAAAAAACUCGUAGUUGGACCUUGGACCUGGACAGGCGGUCCGCCUCACGGCGUGUACUGUCUUGCUGGGUCUUUCCUCUUGGUGAUCUGUUGUUUCGGCAGCAGGGAACCAGGACUUUUACUUUGAAAAAAUUAGAGUGUUCAAAGCAGGCUCGACGCCGGAAUAUAUUAGCAUGGAAUAAUAAAAUAGGACGUGCGGUUCUAUUUUGUUGGUUUUUGGAAUCGCCGUAAUGAUUAAUAGGGACAGUCGGGGGCAUUAGUACUCACAUGCUAGAGGUGAAAUUCUUGGAUUUUGUGAAGACUAACUUCUGCGAAAGCAUUUGCCAAGGAUGUUUUCAUUAA